rnacentral:rRNA from 1 species
AUACGGAGGGUGCGAGCGUUAAUCGGAAUUACUGGGCGUCUAGCGUGCGUAGGCGGUUUGUUAAGUCAGAAGUGAAAGCCCUGGGCUCAACCUGGGAACGGCUUUUGAGACUGGCAGACUCGAGUUGAGUAGAGGGGAGUGGAAUUUCCGGUGUAGCGGUGAAAUGCGUAGAGAUCGGAAGGAACACCAGUGGCGAAGGCGACUCCCUGGACUCAAACUGACGCUGAGGUACGAAAGCGUGGGUAGCAAACAGGAUUAGAAACCCCAGUAGUCC